GCUCCUUAAUCGUCGCUGACCAUUACUCGUCUUUGUAACGAGAGGGAGCACAUGGCAGCUUAUAAUAAAGUGAAGUUAUAAACCUCACAAAUUCACUCCUUAUGGUUAUACGUACAGCCCAGCACACUCGCUCCCGAAAUUAUAGAAACAAAUCACCCACCCUCCCUCCCUCCCCCUCUGUUUCCCACAAUCAACGGUUUAUUCAGUUUGGUUGCAAAUGUGGACAGUAGGAACACAGAGACGAGAACCAGUAGGAGCUUUCGUAUUUUUCACCAUAUUCUAACUUCGCCCCGAGUUUCGCUCAUACUUUCAUUCAACGUAUCCAUGUCUUCGAGCUUCAGUCCCUCCCGGAGCCCCGUUAACUCCCGGCUGCAGCACGGCGCCGUUGGCGUUGUCUCCCGUCUCAGAUCCUCUUCGCUCAAGAAGCCGCCGGAGCCCCUGCGCCGAGCCGUAGCCGAUUGCCUCUCCUCGCCUUCUUCCUCGUUUUCGUCUUCCCCCUCCGCUUUUUCCCCUCACCUUUGGGGCCCCUCGGCUUUUGUCGCAUCUGAAGCUUCGAGAACUCUCCGGGACUAUAUGGCUGCUUCUGCAACAACUGACCUGGCGUAUUGUGUAAUUCUGGAACAUACAAUCGCAGAGAGGGAGCGCAGCCCAGCUGUAGUUGCAAGGUGUGUGACACUGUUGAAACGUUAUCUUCUACGAUACAAACCAAGUGAGGAGACACUACUACAGAUAGAUCGGUUCUGUGUGAACACAAUUGAUGAAUGUGAUACUAGUCGAAAGCAAAGAUUGUCACCAGGUUCACGAUCUUUAGAUCAACAAGCAGGGGCAUCGACAGGACCUAUGAAUAUAUCUCCUUUGCCUGUAUCCAGUUUUGCUUCUGGGGCACUUGUGAAGUCAUUGAAUUAUGUACGUUCCCUUGUAGCUCAGCAUAUUCCAAGACGGUCUUUCCAACCAGCUGCCUUUGCUGGAGCGCCUCCUACAUCAAGACAGGCACUUCCAUCAUUGUCAUCUUUGUUGAGUAAAUCCUUCAAUUCGCAAUUAACCCCUACCACUGGUGGAGAAUCUUUAGAGAAGAAAGAUGCUACUUCUAUAUCUGUUUCAAAGUUAUCAAUCUUUGAAAAAGUGGAUGAAUUGGUAGAUCAAUUAUAUAUUGCACAUGAUGUUCUGAAAUGGCGCUGGCUCGGGGAGCAUCGUUCAUCAUCUUUGCCAGCUGAAAGUGAUUCCCAAGACAUGAGAAAACGUAAUUUCCUAGAAGUUGGUGCAGCAGGAUUACUUGUAGGAGACAUGGAAGCUAAAAUGAAGGGCCAACCUUGGAAAUUUUUUGGAACUGCUGAUAUGCCUUAUCUUGAUCAACUAUUGCAACCUUCACCAGUAACAACAAUUACCGAUUCUAUCAAUUCCCGGUCCCACUUGAAAGCAAUUACAGCAUCUAAACGCACCAAACCCGGCCCUCGUCAAAUUUGGGAGGAUUCUCCUGUGAGCACAUUCCGUGCGAAGGCUCGCCCGCUCUUCCAAUAUCGUCAUUACAGUGAACAACAACCUUUGCGAUUGAAUCCUGCUGAGGUAUGCGAUGUGAUGGCUGCAGUUUGCUCAGAGACAUCUUCAACAAAUGCUAAUAUUAUGACAGUAUCAUCUAAAUUAAGUAAUCACAGUGGAAAACCAUCCAUGGACGUGGCUGUUAGCGUCCUUGUGAAACUUGUUAUUGACAUGUAUGUUUUAGAUUCUGGUACUGCUUCUCCCCUGACUCUGUCUAUGAUUGAGGAUCUGCUUAGUUCUCCCAAAGCAGCUUGCAGGACUCGUGCUUUUGAUUUAAUUCUGAACCUUGGUGUUCAUGCUCAUUUAUUAGAGCCAGUUAUAACUGACAGUGCUUCAACGAUAGAGGAAGAAUAUUCUCAAGAAUCUUAUUUUGAAAAUGAAGCUCCACUUACGAUCCAUGGAAAGGGAAAAUCAGAUUCUGUUAAGAAGAUGGGCACGGUCUCAGCUAUUGAUAAUUUUGAGUCUUGGAUUUUAAACAUUUUGUAUGAGAUUCUACUUCUUCUUGUUCAGACUGAAGAGAAUGAAGAAUCUGUCUGGGCCUCUGCUCUAAGCUGUUUACUUUAUUUCGUUUGUGAUGGAGGGAAAAUCGUGAAAACCCGACUAAAUGGUCUUGACAUAAGGGUUGUUAAAGCAUUUCUAGAAACUAGCAGGAAGAACUCAUGGGCAGAAGUAGUUCAUUGCAAGCUUAUUUGCAUGUUAACAAACAUGUUUUAUGAUGAUCCCGAUGAACCUACUGAUGCCGAUCCAAGUAUUCCAACUUUUCUCAUAGAUCAGGUUGAUUUGAUCGGAGGAAUUGAGUUUAUUUUUCUUGAGUAUUCCCUCUCAAACUCUAGGGAAGAAAGGCGAAAUCUGUAUUUGGUCAUCUUUGACUAUGUUCUGCAUCAAACAAAUGAAACAUGCAUUGCUACACGAGGCAAUGAAUAUACUUAUGAUGAGAUUCAACCUCUUGCUGUCCUGCUCACUCUUGCAGAUGCACCUGAAGCAUUCUAUAUAUCUGUUAAGCUUGGGGUGGAAGGCAUUGGGGAGAUUUUAAGAAGAUCAAUCUCUUCUAUGCUGUCUAAAUAUCCCAACAGUGAACGGCUAAAUACGCUCUUGGAGAUUGUAGUAGACAAAUUUGAUACAAUAUUAAGUUCAUUCACUCAUUUAGACAGAGAGUUCUCCCAUAUGAUACAAAUUACGAAAUCAUACAAGUUUUUGGAAAGCAUUGAAGAUACAGUAGUUCCAAGAAAUGUUCUUGGUAUGAAAGCGAAACUCUCAUGGACCAAUUUACAUUCGCUUCUUCAUUCAGGAAGAAUUGCAUAUCGUCGAAAUGGUUACAUAUGGUUAGGUGAUCUGCUUAUUGAAGAAAUAAGUGAGAAAAGGGAUGCUGGUAUCUGGUCUAAUAUUAGAACCUUGCAGCAGAAAAUUGCCCAUGCUGGUCUUCACGAUGCUUCAGCUGCUUCAGAUGUUCCUUUGGCCAUUGGGAUUUUUUGUGGGCUUUUAAAGUCAAAGCACAACUUCAUAAGAUGGGGCUUCCUACUUGUUCUGGAGAGGCUUCUCAUGCGAUGCAAAUUUUUGUUAGAUGAGAAUGAAAUACAGCACCCAAGCAGUACUGAGCUUGGGCAUGUGGACAAAGAUGCUGGUCUGGAGAAAGCUAAUGCAGUGAUCGACAUCAUGAGCAGUGCUUUGUCCUUAGUGUUCCAGAUACAUGAGACAGACCGCAUCAAUAUUUUGAAGAUGUGUGAUAUACUAUUCUCUCAGUUGUGUCUGAGAGUUCCUCCUACAACUGCAUUGCCAUAUGGAGAUGAUGUGCACCAAUCCAACAUAAUGAAAGAAACUGAUGGCAGAUCCUACACCCUGCUUGAACAUGAGACGGCCUCAAUGGCAGCACUUCUACUUCGUGGACAUGUCAUUGUGCCAAUGCAGUUAGUGGCACGCGUUCCUGCUGCGUUAUUCUAUUGGCCAUUGAUUCAGCUUGCAGGUGCAGCAACAGAUAACAUCGCAUUAGGUGUUGCUGUAGGAAGCAAAGGAAGAGGAAACCUCCCUGGUGCCACAUCAGAUAUUCGGGCUACUCUUCUGUUACUUCUAAUUAUUAAAUGCACUGCAGAUCCUGCUGCAUUCCAAGAAGUUGGUGGAGAAGAAUUUUUCCGGGAACUUCUAGAUGAUACAGAUUCAAGGGUGGCAUAUUAUUCUUCAACUUUUCUUUUAAAGCAAAUGAUGACAGAAAAACCUGAAGAUUACCAACACAUUCUUCAAAGUCUCGUUGUUAGAGCUCAGCAGAACUUCAUAUUUUUUGUCGUGGAGAUGCUGGACUUCAUUUCAUCAUCAAUAAUUCUCAUGAUCUUACAGCACCUGGGCAUUAUUUCUAUAACUGGGAUAUGCUUAAUUUCACAAGUGUGCAAAAGUAAAUUUUGAAUCUGAUUUGCUAAGGUAAUGCCCAGCAAAAUAUCAAACACAAGAUUGGAGCACAAGGUCUCAAGAGAGAAAGCAUAAUGCUUCAAGAAUCAGUUUUUAAUGCCUAACGAUUUUUAGCAGAGGUUACUGGAAAAUGGUUUGCCGCACUGGGUUCGGCUUCCCAUAUCUCCAUCUAAAGUACAUUCAUGUCAUGACUUGUUCAGGGGCUGCUACUGUUGGUCACAUAGAGUUUGAUGUUUAGCUGAAGUUUAGGAAUGAAGUUGCGGCAUUAAAUCCAGAGCAGUUGUCCUGGAAAUCUUUCGACAUAUCUACCUAUCAUUAUACAAAUAGACGUUGCACAAGAGCUUGGAUGUAUCUUCAGCAGUUUGGUGUUCAUCGUAAUCGUGGGAGAUCCUGGAAUUUUUUUUGGAAGAGUACUUGUACAGAACUAGAUUUCCUCCGAGCCUUCUUUUAUUUAAGGCGACCUUGACAGUUUUUUUCUCUUUAAAUUUUUGGGCAUUCCUGGGGUAAUGUCUCGAGUAGGAUGUGUCUUAGAGGUUGAUCAACCACCUUGAUAGCAAUGAGAAAAGACUCCAGAUCUUGUAAUUUUUUGACGGAUAGGACAGUGAAGGAGGGUAGUUUGGCUCGCAUUACCAUCGGGUUCUACCAUUGGGCAUGACGGAGUGUUUAUUUUUAGGGGCAUCUCCUAAGCUUGCCUGAUAUUCUUUUGAUCUAAUUACGUUCUUGUUGACUUUGUAAAUACGUUUUGUUUUAGACCCAACGUUUUUCUUUUGUCGUUUAUUCUUGUCUCCAAACUCCCGUUUAUCGUUGUAAAGUAACUGUGGAGAAAUUCCCUAACAUGUGUAUGAUUUUGAGGUUCUUUGGCUAUUGAAAAUUUUGCUAUAUGUAUUUGAGA